CAUACUGACUGCGUCAAAAGAUGCCGAUGACUUGUUCUCAAAUAAUUCAAGUUUUUUACAUAGUUCUGAUGGCACAACUUCCACAAAACUGUAAUGGCUGGCCACAGACACGCUAUUGUCAGACGUUACCUCUCCAAAGUAGAUGCCUGAUGUGAAUGCAGUCAAGACUCAAUGAUAUCUUCUCCAUUAACAGGCCAGCCGCGGAUACACCAUUGUCAGAUGAAGUCUACCUCUCCAGAAGUAGAUGCAUGAUGGGAAUACAGGCCAUCUUCAAGAUUCAAUGUCUUCUCCAUCAACAGGCUAGCUACAGGCACACCAUUGUCAGAUGAAGUCUACCUCUCUAGAAGUAGAUGCAUGAUGGGAAUACAGCCCAGCUUAGGAUUCAACGAUGUCUUCUCCAUCAACAGGCUAGCCACAGACACACCAUUGUCAGAUGAAGUCUACCUCUCUAGAGGAAGAUGCAUGAUGGGAAUGCAACCCAGCUUAGGAUUCAAUGAUGGCUUCUCCAUUAACAGGCUAGCCGCAGACACACCAUUGUCAGAUGAAGUCUGCCUCUCCAGAAGUAGAUGCAUGAUGGGAAUAGCCCAGCUUAGGAUUCAACGACGUCUACUCAGUCAUUAGUUCCACGCCUAGAUCUCGGAGGGACUGGCGACGACGAUUAAAACUGACCGAGUUAGUCACGACAGUUUCUUUGAUGAGCCUUUCCAGUCCAUUUACAGAAACCAAGGCCUAUCAGCAGAUGAUGCAGAGCUCUCAAAGGUCGGCUAAACUUAAAGAUCUGGAUGGUCUGGGAGACAGCGAGGAAGGUUCAUCCGAUGAUGAAAAAGACGAUGAGAUUGAGGAGGCUACCAGCCAAGAUUAAAGAUCUGGACGGUCUGGGAGACAGCGAGGACGGUUCAUCCGAUGAUGAAAAAGAUGUUGAGGCUACCAGACAUUCUCCUGAGACCCCCACCUUCAUCCAGA